AGCGAACGCUGGCGGCAGGCCUAACACAUGCAAGUCGAACGAACCUUUCGGGGUUAGUGGCGGACGGGUGAGUACCACGUGGGAACGUGCCUUUAGGUUCGGAAUAACUCAGGGUAACUUGUGCUAAUACCGCAUGUGCCCUUCGGGGGAAAGAUUUAUCGCCUUUGGAGCGGCCCGGGUAUGUUUAGCUAGUUGGUUGAGGUAACGGCUCACCACGGCGACGAUCAGUGGCUGGUCCGUGAGGAUGAUCAGCCACAUUGGGACUGAGACACGGCCCAAUCUCCUACGGGAGGCAGCAGUGGGGAAUCUUGCGGAAUGGGCGAAAGCCUAACGCAGCCAUGCCGCGUGAAUGAUGAAGGUCUUAGGAUUGUAAUAUUCUUUCUCCGGGGACGAUAAUGACGGUACCCGGAGAAGAAGCCCCGGCUAACUUCGUG
rnacentral:rRNA from 1 species